rnacentral:ncRNA from 2 species
GGCGGCCCGCCGACAUGCCAUAAUCGCGCGGUAAGGCGAUGACGAUGCAGGAAGCCGGUGCGAAUCCGGCGCGGUCCCGCCACUGUCAUCGGGGAGCAACCCUCAUCGGCCACGGCCCGCUUUUCCAGGGGCUGGAAGGCGAGGGAAGCGCUGAUCCGAGAGCCAGGAUACUCACGUCAUCGCGUCCUGCGAC